CCUUCCUGGACUCCUCUGCCCUUCAGAACUGCCUUCCAAGGGACUCUGCCAACCAGUGUCCUGAGCAUCAUAAACUCUGCCCUCCAGAAGUCUAAGACAGCAGUUUUACUGGUCCCCCUCCUGACUUCGCCAAGAAUAUAGAACUCCACCAUUUCAUGGUCGCUCUGCCCAAGACAGAUCCCGACCACCACAUCUCCCACCACUCCUUCUCUGUUUGUGAACAGAAGGUCCAGCGGGGCACCUCCCCUGGCAGGCUCACUAACCAGCUGCGUCAGGAAGCUAGCUUCCACACUCUCCAGAAACCUUCCAGACUUAUGCACUGAAAUCCUACAGGUGUCCUAUAGGGAAGAAUUAAAUGAGCACCCUGGGCAAAGAACUUCGCCCUUUAUACACCAUGAACUGAAGUAGCAGUUACUAGAAACCACAAGUAGUUUUCAUUGCUUUAGGUGAAGCUUAAUGUGACCUGCAGGCAAGGCUAGAUGGGCUGUCAUCCCCCAGAACACACAAUUUCCUAUAAAGUGCCCCUGCAGAAUGAUACUUGGGUGAAGGAGCUUAUGUUCUGAGUUUAAAAACCUUUUAAAGUGAAUCCUUUUUAUGGAGCAGUGAUUUUCGUGGUUCAGUUUAUUCUGAACCGUCAUGUUACACAGGAUGACAGCAGAAGCUGUCCUUUCUGAAAGACUAAAUGGCUCGCAGCUGGCAUUCGGAUAUAAAGUGACUCAGAAAAUACUUUUUCUGAAUUAGUCUAAGAAAAACUCUCAUAUUUCGAACUUUAAAAGACAAAGGUACUCAAGGAAAAGGAAGCUUUUUCACUAUUUUUCACUAUUUGCUUAUUCACUGUAUUUGACUACUCAUAUCUCUGCAUCCAGUCACUGUGUAUCACACCCAACAGAACCUUAAGGUUUCUGCAAAGCCAUUCCUUAACUUUUUUUAUUCUUUAAGAGUUAUAUACUGAAUCACAAUAUGGAGGAAAAAAUGGGGAGAUGAUGAAAUGGAUGAGAAAAGUUUCAAUCGUGUGUUUUUGUAUUCAAAGUGAACGUUGAAAUGUAGAACAUCGAAAAUAAAUUCCUUAACUUUAGGUUUGAAUGAGGAGAGGCUUGUUGACAGGUCUAGUCAUGCCCAGAACGUGUCUAUUUUUGGAACAGCAGCGUACUGUACCUACGAGUAAGAGUAAUCAGACAGGUACUGUUUCUCUUUAAUUGAUGAAUUAUUAAUUGACAGGCUAAGCAAAUGUGCUUAACAUCAAUAAGACACUUAAUGGCCAUGGGUGUAUUGUCCUAAGCUUCACUUAAGGGUUUCAGUGACUUUUCCAUCUUAAUGGCAAAAAGGCAUGUGUUAAUAGACUUGGUAUUUGAAACUGCAAGGAGGAAGCUCUUUGAUUUUGUUCAGAAGUGUACCAGAGGCCACUUCUGAAGUUUUCAGGUGAAACGAACCAAAUACUGUGUUAUUGUCAGUUAAGAGGCUCAGAGGACAAGACCAACACAGAAGGUGGAGGCUUAAAGUACAAAGACUGAUUUCUGAAAGCUAAUCAUUAUAAACAGAUAAUGAAGUCUGGGGGGAAAAAUCUCCAGUCACAGCAUUUUGUUAUACUUGAGUCACAGCUACAGAACAGCAACGUGAACAUCACUUUUCAUUGAUCACCAAACACAAUGCAUAAGAAGCUGAAAUUACUUGUCUCAAAACAUGGUGGUGCUUCCUCCUGAGAAAACUCCCAUCCAGACCUGUAUGUGAAGUCAAAAGGCUGUCAUCGUUGGACAAACAUCUUCUCUAGCUUUUUGUCUCUCUUCAAAUGGAGCCUUUUGUUUUGUUUCAUACUGUGGUGACUGGUAGUGAUCGAAUGUCUGAGGUAGCUGAUGUAUGUGAAUGUGAGUUGCAGUUGUAGCUUUGGUAGCUUUUAGUCCCAAUUCUGUGCUUCACUUGGCUCUGCAGAGCUAGGGACCUCCACUACCUUUACUAUCUCUGGUCUUGACAGUAGAGUGUAAGCACACAAAAUGUUGUGGGAUUUAACUCUUGGAAUACUUUGAUGUAGAGAAGAAAAUAAAAUAAUAAAAAAAACUAAAAUGCCAAGCUUGUCAUUUAUUCUAGAAUAAAAGAAAAACUCAGACUGGAAGUAUAAUCCUGCUGCUCUGGAGGCUAGGAGAGAUGACGUCUUGCUCAAAGCAGGGGCUGUCUUUGAAGUUCUCCAUUUAUUCUUUUGUGGCUGCAAACUAAAAGAACACUGUAAAAGUAUCUUCCAAACCUUGCUUCCUGCAGGAAUACAGUUAAAACUUUCUGGAAACACUCAGUAGUGCUUGCAAUUAACCUACCAGUCACUGCAGGAUGCAGAACAUAGAUCACAAACUCACAGCAGGUUAUUUUCUUGGAGUACAUCCAGCUCCAAAUAGCACUUGUAGGAGUUGGUGCACUCCCUAAAACAGGGUGCCUCGGGGAACACUUUCCCUUCGAGAAAGUGACUGACUGGGUUGGAAUGUGUGCAGAUGCCAGGGGCGGCUGCUCGUUCCUCCCCAGAUUCAGGUCAAGCUGCAUCUUGAGUUUUAGUAAGGCUUGAGUUGAGGGCUACUUCUUAUGAAUGGACAUCCUCAGUUCAGUUACUGUAGGGAGAAUGUGGGUUCUCUCCUUGGCUACCCUCUCUUUGGUAAAACUGACAGUACUUUAAUGCAGCAUUGCACAGAAGAGAGCCUACUGACUUCCUCAGGCUGGGUCAGAGGAUCGUCUUAACCAGGUACUCUGAGCUGCGUGUUGUCAACCUGCCUCCCAGCAACCUCCAGAGCGACUGGGAACAAAACUGAUGAGAAAGCAAUAAUAAUGUAAUUGCCAAAGCAAGGAGGAGCUUAACUUUACUACUGAAGACUUCUUUUCCCCAGAUAAGUAGUGCUAAACUAUUUAUACAGCAUCCGCUGAAAGUAGCACUUUAUUCCUAAGUUUUUGUGGGUGGUAUCCCUCAAAGUGUUUCAAAAAAAGGAAUUUUUGAGUAAUACUUUUUAAUUUGUUUUUAUUAAAACUAGUUCAUUCGGUACACACUCAUCAUACUUCACUAAAAUCUUUUUGAUUGAAUCUCUUUGGAUGAAUAUAUCAUUGUUACAAAAUGAUCUUGUUCACUGUUGGCAGUGGGAGGUAGGGGAAGAGUAGAGCCAAAAUACAGCAGAAAUUAUUAUGAAGGCUUAAACAUCAGCAGCUGUUUGAAAUAAAAAUCUAAGGUGCAUUUCCCUCCUUCUGCCUUCCCUCCCACCCCCUUCCAGCACUGAUCAGAUUUAUUUUGCCUUUUUUACUACAGAUACCAUGUUAAUACUUCGAAAAACUUGUUGAUUUUCAAGGCCUUUUGUAAAGAUCUUAUCUGUGGUCCUUUUAGCUCAUUUUUUGGCAUGGGUUCAAUUUUUUGAAAGUAGCAAGCCUUUGACAAGUGCAAUUGAAUUCCUAGGGCAUGCUUGCUGUUCAGGGAUGAUCAGCGCAAACCAAAGGUAGCGAUUCCCGUGAUAAUGUAACGUGCAGCCUCUAGAUGUAAAUUCCCACGUGUAAGGGAAUGAAAUCCACUGCUAAUCAAGUCUGAGUAUCUAAUUCCAAGAUGGUGUGUCCUAGGUAGACUGGCUAUUAGCACUAGCCUGCAGCUGUCUCUUCUAGCACUUUAAAGGCAAUAAAAUACAGUCAGCCCCACUUUUCCUUUGUCCCUGCUAAAUGCUCUGGGAGAAUACUGCCAUUGUGAUCUCUGUAUCACUGUAAGCUUGCUCUUUCACAGCAGGGUACAGUUUGAUCGUCUUCUCUGGGAAGUGAUCAAUUGACAGCUGCUCUAAGGAGACCCCAAGCUCUCAUUAGCAGGUAGCCAAACACUGGGCCUAGAGUAUCCUACUGCUCAUCUGCUGAAGGUACACAAGCAAGUUCCUGAACAGGCAUCUUGGUCUCCAAUUGUUAGCAGCUUUAGGGAUGUCUGAAGCCAUAUGGAUAGAAGAAAGGGGUCUCCCAGCUCACCAGCUCCUGAUGCUCUUUUCUUUUGGGGAGUGACUUGGAGAUGGUUAGGACAAUUGCUUUGUAUUCAUUGCUUCCUUGUCUAAAUUGGCCUUCUCCAGAGUCACAUACAUUUUCCAACUUCGAUUACUUGAGGCUGGAGGAUAGUUUCUAUCUGUAUUUAGCAAUACAAAGAAAGCACUGACCACACUUAGCUUUAGGUAUUAAAAUGCAUACAUGGGGUAUGCUGAUGCUACAGGCAUAAACAAAUGAUGAAACAGCUCUAACUAGAAGAACCUUGGAGCUAUGAUACUUGGUCCAAGAACUGAAAGAAUGGCAAAAAAAAUCCCCAGACAUCUACCAAGCUCCAAGUGAGUUAGGUCUUGUUCUGACAGUGAAGAGGGUGUGUACUGCUUCAGAUAACAUCUCAACACAAUAUUGCUGUGCACAGCCUCUAUUCUUUUCAACACAUACACUUGCUUAAUCUUGGGUAUUAAUUUAGUGCUUUCUGUCGUUUCAAAAUAGACCACAGAGAGAUUGUUAGAUUCAUCUGAGCUGCUGUUCUAUUUUGUCUCCUUUCUCGGAGGAAGAAGUGGAGUGCUGUUCACGGGUGGUCUGCUUCAUGUGCACACCACAUGAAGGUGCAGUUGUCAGUGUCAAAUGAGUGACUUCUACUAAGGGACUGAAGCUUCCUCUGUUGCGUGUUGUGUAGACAAAGGUGAGGAGUAGGACGUGUUCUGAGGAGUUAGUCUGGAGCCUGUGUCUUUAUUCCGUUUCCUUACCCAGGAAAGGAUUAGAGACGUGCUGCCGGAGCGGGCGGCGCUGUGGCUGUAAUACUUGGCUCGCGGGCAGGUGAGGCUUACAGCCUGGCUGACAGUUAGCCCGAGGUUUGUGUUACAUUUGGACGUGGUUAUAGAAAGUGGAAACAUCUAACACCUGUCACUUGGGAAAGGUCCUAAAUGACUAGUAAAUCUUAACCUGUAAUGGGUGCCAUAUGGCACUCUUUAUUUGCAUCUGGAAAAAAUCAGGAAGCCUCUAGAGGCUAGUGAUUAGAGGCAUGUAUGUAAAAUUCAAAUAAAACUGAGACUUCCUGGAAAGCAAAGUGGCUUACUGUAUGCUGCUGCUGUCUGAAUGUCAGGUGUCUCAGUGCUAGAGUUAGCUGCAGAAACGCGUAACUGGACAGGCGAAGAUGAAGGCAUGCUAAAUGAAACUAGUCCCCUACACUGCAGUGUACAUGUUUAAGGAGUUUGGUUAUGGUCUGCAUAUAAGCCAGAGGGUGCUUUGAUGUGAGUUUUUAAUGUUCACAUCAAUAUAUGGUAAACUAAGCCAACAGAAAUGCAGUCCUGACUUCAUCUCUUGCGUACUGUGGCUGUUUCCCCACAUCGUGCAUGUUCAUGCUCAGACUUUCCCAGUAUGUAAAGGUGCAACCUCAGUGCAAGUUUUUAUUUCUUGAAGUCUUAGCUGUGGAGCUGUCAUCAAGGACUUAUUUCCAGUGUAUUCAUGGAAAAAACGUUUCCUUGUAUGUGUGGUAUAGAGUAAAAACAAAGGCAAUGAAUUUAAAGCAGCUGUUAGGAUCUUUUUUUGGUUGGUUCCAAUGUCUUUUAAAUUGCUUCCAGGAAAGAACAGAAUCAGAGUUGAGCAUUUAGAACUGAAAUCAGAAGUAGCAAAGUGUGGGCUGCCUACAGAGGAGGUAUGUCAUCCGCCCCUUCCCAAAAUCUCCUAUUGCGAAACUGAAAGCUGAAGAGCUGCUUUGUUUAAGGUGUUUCUCUACCCAACCCCUCUGUUCAGAGGUUUGGGCAGGUGCUGCAGUGCCUGCUGAGCAAGGAAAUGGGUACGGCAUCUGUGGGCUCAUGUACUUGAAGGCAAAGUGGGUAGAAAAGACCAUCUGCUAGUUUGUGUUCUGUCUUAAUUUCUCUCCGCUUGCACUCUUUUUACCAGCUGUGUACUUGUCAAAUCGAAACACAGCAGCGCAUCUCCGGGUGGCAGCAUAAAGGCGGUACUUAACCUGAGCAGCCACAUAAGGACACUUUCACAAAUUCUUACAGCAGGGUUGGGGUGUUUGGAGAGUUGAGUUCAUAAGGACAGAAGUACAAGUACUUGGCUUUUCAGGUGUCUUCAGUCUCACAUUUGAAAUGUUUGUGAGAUGGGCAGUGAAGCUUGAUGUGAUUAUUUUACUUUCUGUGUGUCCCACCCGGUGAACACGCUGCACUGAAGCCCGCUUGCUCUGUAAGUCUUACAGGCCCCAGAAAUCCGAGUUCUGAGAAGCGGUGAGAACUGUCCGGAUGCUUUUCUUUGCCUACAGUUGAGUGCAAGUCUGGCAGCACUCAUUAAAGCAGGGUGGCAACUAUCAUUUUCUUUUAUUUUCUUUUAGAAAAUGAGAAUGAGCUACUGUGAGUUGUGAGGGCCGGCUGUUCAAACUCUGCUUGAAGGGUUUGCACCUGGGGAGUUCUCGGCUUUCCUCCUCUUAGAGCUAAGUGUGGAGAAAUGGAGCAAGGUCUGGGAGCUGACCGCGUGCCCCGCUCGCUUUCUGUCCUGGUCUGGGUUCAGGAACCAAACACUGGUUUACAGAUUGCAGUGCCCCCUGCUCCUGGGGGAUAACCUCUGUGCACAUUUGCCCAUUGCUUUCACAUUUUUUUGUUUAAAAAAGGGAGGUGGAAAGCCCUAACUUCUGGAAGGCCGUGCUCAGCAGUUCAGGCACUGGGACAGCCUGCUCCUACUCAGCGUGUUUGCUGACCGAGUCUCUCGUGCAGCAGCAGCUGCUGCUGUGCGGCAGGUCACUUGACCAGCCCAAAUCUGCAGUGUUAAAACAUUCUGAUGUUCCUGUCUGGGGAAGCUGCCGUGCCUCGGUGCAGAGGGUAAUAACGGUGUUUAGGCACUGGAGCAGCUGGAAGAACUGCAGGAGAUGCAGGAUUUGUCCCAUUGCAUAGAAGCUUCCUUCUAGGAACAGGGCUUCCACAAGUGAAAAUAGCUUUUACCAACUUUAAAUUGUGGCCAAGGGCAGGUGAUGAGCAGCUGGGACUGACUUUGGGGAUAAGCAGUUACUGCAGUAGUUCCAUGAGCUGCAGGAUGCUGUCAAACUGAGCCUUGGCCAUGCCAGCUGUGUGUGCCCGAGCUAGCCUGGUGUUGUAGCAGUGCCAGGAAAUGAGUGUAUUUUCCCCAUAUAUGUGAUCUAGAGACAGAUGUAGUCAAUUGUGACUAGAAGAUCUCAAAACCAUAGAUUUUAGCCAAAUUAAUACUUCCACUGUUUCUCCCAGCUCCUGUUCCUCUUCAGCUACAAAAAAUGUUGUGGGCACAAUGCAUGCUGAGGGAGCACUCGAGGGGUUUGAUGUACCUUUCGUUCUUCUGGCUCUGGGCUUAGUGGCUUGACACGACUAUCAGAACACAAGGCAGUGUUUCAGUCAGCUCUUUUUCUUUGCUUUCCUCUCUAAAGCAAGUAGUACUGUUUUUAAUUCUUACUGCCUGAUCAGUUUGCAGUUUCACUGCAAACUAACGGCUAGUCAUGUGGUGCUGGCAAAUAUUGAAGGGAGAGACCUAAAUCUGAGACUGUUAAUAAUAAAAGCGGGACUGUGACACAUAACAAGUGCUUUUUACAGCGCUUGGAAGGAAGGGGAAGCAUCAAGCCUGAAGUAUUUGGUCAUCAAUGUGUCCAUCUUGAGGCUGAGACUACAUCUUUCAAGAACACUACUUCAUUCCCUGAGCAGCUCUGCAGUUCAGCCUGCUGCAGGUAGCAGAAUGGCUCAACCACACCAGCCUGGCCCAAGUGCUUCUGUUAUUCCUGUGCUUUGUUGCAGGUGUGGAAAGAGCUGUGAUUUUCAUGUUCAAGAGCAGUUAUGGGAGACAGUCCACGGGUGUGUGCCCUGCAUGGGAGGGAGCCCUUGGAGCUGAAUUGCUUUUGAGUGGUUUUGUGACUGGUUCUUCCUUUGGCCGUUCCCGUAAAUGAGUCUUGGUAAAACCAAACUACAGACUUAAGCAUAAGCAUUCAAGUAAAUUCUCGAGAGGUCAUUAGAAAAAAACAACUGUGCGAACAUGCAAUUACAGGAGAUGAACUGCAACUGCUGCGCAGUCUGGCUUGAGUGUCUAUCAACUGUUUAGCUUUUGCUGCUUGCUCUCUGCUCCUUCACAAACUGGAGCAUUGUUCCACAGCUCAGUUAAGCUCCUGUGAUCUAAGUAUGUGUCAGACUUUUUGAAAUGGAGAAUUUUGGCCAAUUUCUCCUAGGCAGAACUUGAUUUCAGUGACUUGUGUGCAUCUUUUCCCUGCUGGAGGGCACUCUUCUCACCUGUCAAGGUGGCUUACGACAUAGUGGUGUCAAGUAACUGCACGGUUCCCUUCAGGACAACAUCUGUUUGUGAAGCUGGUUUGUGCACGUUAAUCCCCACAGAUGCCUCGUGCUGAAGCUCAGUGCUCCUUGAAAUCAGGAAGGAAAUCUUAGUGCAUUGCAGGCCACAGCAGCGUUUCACACCAGUGGAUACCCAGUAUCAGUUUGAUUCCUCCUUGACCUCUUGCCACCACCAGAACUGAGCUGUCCAGAAACCACGCAGGCUGUUGGUAUAAACUGUGGUGCUAGGGAGGUAAAGUAACGUGGCUGUGCUCUUUGAGAAAUGGAAGAGCUUAUCGCACAGGAAACUCAUUUGUGAUAAAAGAAUACAUAAGGGGGAUGGAAAGGAGCUGAGGAAUUGCUCAGCUUAUAAAUGCUGAGCCUGGGCUUUGUUUCUUUCUCUUCUCUAGCUGCUUGAGCUAUGGAUUGAGAAAUCAUUUGUAAGCAGUUUUGAUUAUUUCAGAACACCUGUAAUUGUUUACAAAGACACCACCUCCAUUCACUAACUGCUUCUGUAAGAAGUUACACCUUCUAUUCAUUAUCAACUUCUGAUGUGUAAAUUUCAAGUUCUGUCAAACAACUAGCAUCUCUCCCUAUAUCUGACUUUUACAGUAGAAAGAGCAUUAAAUUCUUGUUAAAUAACAAUGGCCAAGUGCUAAUGUGUUAUUUAGAUACUGAUGCGUUCUUCAGCUUGUGGGUUUUUUAGGUUAUUUUUUCCCUCUACACCCCCUUCCUCCCCCUGCUGCCAAGUACCUUACUGCCCUGCAGCUGCGUGGCUGUAAUGGUGAAUCACUCCCAAAGCACAGUUACACCUCCCAUCUAUCUGCCUCAGUAGUUGUUACUAAUGUGUUGACUAACUGUUGUUACUUCGAUUCUGCCUCGUGUAAAAUCAGGGUAAUCUAUCUGAAGCCAUCGAGCAGCCCUCUAUAACUUUUAUUAACUUGUUCUUAGUAGUCCAUAAAAACAAUUUGCCUUUCCCUUCACAGGUUUAGGAAGUCCCAAGUUGCAGAUCUCUCCAGGAAUAGCAUCAUCUGUCUUGUGUGUGUUUUGUUUGUUUAUAUGGUUGUGAAUGGCAGCUGGGAGGUGGGGAGGGAGUGGGGAGGCUGAAAUUGUCUUGUAACUGACAUCUCUGGGCUUGAUGAGAAGAGGGGAAUGUGCCUAAUGCUCAAGGCAGUUUUCCAGCCAAAACAAAUCUUGAUAACUUAGGUUUAUUCAUUCCAGUGAGCAAACUGUUACAAACGUGUGGCCAAGAGUAAGAAGUGACUUUGAUUUCAAAUGUGUACCUCUUCAAACUGGAAAACAAACCAAAAAAUAAAAAAACAGUUCUGUUGGUGGCAUAAAGCAAUUUUUUUCAGUCCACGUAAGACACAAAAGACUGAGCUUGUUCUGGAAGAAUUAUCCUUUGACUAGAAAACCAAUACCAUCCCUCCUUUUAUGCCCUAAUGAAAAGAGCUUGCUGUCUACACACUAGUUCAAUGGGGGAGAAGCUGUCAGGAAAAUCCAAUGAAAGGAUUAGCUCAACUUGAAUAGAUUAAUUAGAGCCCUUGAUUGUGUCCUGCUAUGCAAAAGUCACAGCAAAGGAAAUGGCAAUGAUAGUGAGUUCAUCCUCACAGGUACAGGAGGGGUUGUCAGCGGGCACACAGUAGGCAAGAAGCAGAUCUAAGAAGUUGCAGUCUGUCUGACAAGCUGUAUCCAUUUGUUGUCCAUCCUCCUGUAGUUGAAAACUAAAAGAUUUUAAUGGUCAUGGAGCUUAUACGAUCAAAUCUUUAUGAUCAAGCCACAAUUCAUUAUUCCAUCCAAUAUCUUAGCUUUCCUGUUGCAUAAGGUCUACGCUGCAUCCUACUGACCAGAGCUAGGAUUUGAGCUAGUACCGAAGCCACAGGGGCCUUGUUCAGUUUCCUGAACCUGUCACAAAUGUACCAAGUGCAGCUUGGAGUUCCAGGAGCUCCACUGAGGCUUGAAGUCAAUUUGUUAUGUUUGAAAACACAGCAAGCUAGCUAACAGUCACUCGUUCUGAUAAUGAAGCUGUUACUGAGGGCAAACUACUGGCAGCGGCCAUCUAAAUCUUGAUUUUAAUGUAGGCUUUCUGUGCUUGAAAUGUAGUCGCUACUGUGCAUAGCACGGAGCCUGGAUUUGAUUCAUUUUUGCAUUAACGUGAGAUACAGAAUGAAAUCUGUGAUAUCAGGUCUCUUGCCUGUGGCUGCAGAGUGGCUUUCAGACUUGUGCUGGCUUGUUACACAGUUUGUGUUCUCCUGUAGCACAAUUCUUGUGCCUGCUUUCCCAAGUAAAAAAAAAAAAAAAAAAAAAAAAA